UUAAAGCAGUGGGAAAUCUCUACUGCAGCUUUAUGUAUAAUCAAAGUUGGCAAAGACAGAACUGCAGUUCACGCCUAUACAAAAUAACCAAAUAUGGCAGCAAGACAAAGCAAAGGGUGUGAAGCAUAAAGUUUUCUCUGAGGAUGCAAGCCAGUAGUUUUUGGGUCUACUGUGGCCUGGUCACCGACUCGACUCGUUGCGUUCUCAUUUUGCUGCUGCAAAUCCAUCAAACCAUGGAUGCUCCAAGGCUGCAGCGCAUUUCACACGCUUCGCUGGAGUUGUGCAACUCAAAUUGGCAGACAGACGAAGGGCGGCACAACAAGGAGACAGCCAGGACAAAGCUGAGAGUGAGAGGACAACACAGGAAGCCUGCUCCAACCGAGGCGGUGGCGUAGGCUGUGGCGGUGGCGGUGACGGCGUCGUCAUGUAAAACUUUUUUGCCAACGCUGCUGGGCAAAACUUUCGCCGGCGUCGCUGAGCCUGCACAAAAUGUGUGUCCAAAAAAUGAUUUGGCUGCUUGAAGGGCAGUUGAGCUUUAAAAAUAUAUAUAUUUCUGACUUGCCAUAUUGCUCAUGUAGAUAUAUGUAUACGAGUAUGCAUAUACUUGUGCUAGCGAGAUCCUUGCCUAAAUGCGCCUAAAUGAAUUUUUGGCAAAACUUUUGCCAGUCACCUUUGAGCAAACUUUCGCAGUAUGCCUCAAGUUUUUGGCCAAACAUCGCCAAAGGCAAAUGCAAGCUUGGUUUGUUGCACAACUUUUAUAAUUAUUUGAUUUGCAACACAAUCACUCGUCUCGUCUAGGACGAUGUGUGCAAAUCCUUUCUUUGGCCUCCCUCACACAAUGACAAUAUUUUUGCAACUUUUCAAUAAGUAAUUUGAAAUGCAUAAAGUUUCCUUUUCAACUGUUGUCAUCACUUACAAAUUUCUGCUGCAAAUCAUCCGAAUAUUCAUUUAAAUACCCAAAUUCAUUUUAAAUUAAAUUUUAUACGCUGACAUGUGGAAAAAACACCUGUGGCCUAAGCAAACAUAGACUUCAAACGCGAGAGAAGAUCUUUAAAAUUCUCUUAAGCAAAUGAAAUUUCUAGAGCUCAAUGUUAAGUAACGACAGUUGUCUUCAGCCAAUUGCUAAAUGCGGUACGGCAAUGCAUUAUCUCUGGGUAUUUAUCUUGGGAAUCGUGUGUCUGUCCAACUCUAGCUCUUCAACCUCAACUCACAAGGAAAGUGAAGGCAGUCCGAAGAGUUCAUUAACGAGAGCGGCUUCGAGUGAGAACACAUGGUUCUUAAGAUCCAUCACACUUGGCGUUAUGCCCCAUCAUCGCUUGAAUACAACGGUCAACAAAAAACAGACUUCAUCGUGGGGAACAACCAGUACAAAUUUCAUGCAAAAUAUUUGGAUAGUAUUCUUUUUUGUCUAUAUUUGUUAUUUAACUGUUACUUUGUUUUGAAGUACAAUAAAUGAUCUAACAAUAUAAAACACUAAAAA